ACACUAAUCUUAAAAUACAGCGACUGAAUAGGCUUUUAUCCCAAAAAAACUACUGUAGCAUUAAAGUGAAUUAUCUGUCUGUGAAUUCGUGUCCAAAUGAUAGUUGCACGGAUGAAAAAUAAAUUAAUAUUUUCUUAUCAUAAUGAUAUACUUGCAUGCAACCUACACUUUGAAUGUCAAUUUCUCAAACCAGCCAUGUGUUACAGUUUUGGUGACUGGCUGAUGACCUGUAUGUCAGGUUACUACUUCGCUUCAACGUGUAUCAUUAUUAGCCCCAAGAUAAUAGCCAACAGUCAAUAUGGUAAAAAACAAAUUAUGGGGGCUGAAGAAUCACCGUUGCAACCUUGCCAUUAAUUUAACAUCUUUAAAAAUGGAUAAAUUAGCAGCUCCCAUAUUUUGCCGGCUAACUAGUUAGUAGUUACCGACCAACAACACUAUAGAAGCUUGAAUGUAUGUAUUAAGGUUAAUUAUCUAUCUAAUAACUGACUGCAAACUAUAAGGAGCAAUGCAAUCUCCAUCACCAAUUUGUAGCCAAACAUAUAAUUAGAGAUGGCCAAUGGGUCAUGCCGUGCCAACCCGACCCACCAAAGCUCGGCCUAUGCAUGCUCGUACCCACUAUAUGUUUCGUGCCAUAUCUAAAUUUUUUUACUUACGUCUAGCCCGGCACACGUGCCGUGCUUACACGUGUCAUGCCUAAGAAAAAAAGUCCAAUAAUUUUUUUUUAAAA
rnacentral:lncRNA from 1 species